GACGAACGCUGGCGGCGUGCUUAACACAUGCAAGUCGAACGAGGUCCAGCCGAUCCUUCGGGGGAAGCGAAGACCUAGUGGCGAACGGGUGCGUAACACGUGAGAAACCUGCCCCGGACUUGGGAAUAACAGUCGGAAACGGCUGCUAAUACCGAAUAUCUUCGUAGCGUCGCAUGGCGCAUCGAAGAAAGCUUUUGCGGUCUGGGAGGGUCUCGCGGCCUAUCAGCUAGUUGGUGAGGUAACGGCUCACCAAGGCAUCGACGGGUAGCUGGUCUGAGAGGAUGAUCAGCCACACUGGGACUGAGACACGGCCCAGACUCCUACGGGAGGCAGCAGUGGGGAAUAUUGCACAAUGGGCGAAAGCCUGAUGCAGCAACGCCGCGUGCGGGAAGAAGGCCUUAGGGUUGUAAACCGCUUUCAGCAGGGAAGAAACUGACGGUACCUGCAGAAGAAGGUGCGGCCAACUACGUGC
rnacentral:rRNA from 1 species